UUUUUUUUUUUUGCUCUUCUCUCUUUCGCGAAACUCUCAACCCAAAACGAAGAAUUUCUUUUGACAAAAUCGAAACCUGGCAAUCAGAGGUUUUGAUUAACCAAUCACUAAUCAGAGACUUUGAUCAAUCAAUCGGAAAUCAGAGAUUUUGAUUAACCAAUCGGAACGACAUAUCUCGAUUAUACAGAUAAUUUCCUUUCUAUGAUCCUAUGAAUUCUUGUUUAGUAAUGGUAUAGAAAUUAGGGUCCUUUGAUUUUUGAAAAUUAGGGUUUCUCAAAAUCUGUUUCUAUCUGUGUUCAUAGGCAUGAUAGUAAAUAGGGUAAUCUGUUUGUAGUAUGUGAUCAAAGUCUCUGUUUUAUUCUCUUAUCUCUCUGUUUUCUGUUUAAUUGCUCGGCUUUUCUUGAAUUAUGCUUUUUAUGCCACCAACAGAUGCUUAAUCUUUAAAAAUGGAUAUGUUUUGAGAACUUCAAUGGUUUACGCAAUCAUAUGGUUCUUGGCUCCUGGGAGAUUAGAUUUCUGAAGAUACAGAUUCCGAAGUUCUUGUGCUUUUUUGUUUCCCUCUCCAAUCAACAGCCUUGGUGGCAAGCAUGUAGGAUAUCAACACUUGGACUUCCCCUCAUUGAAGCUCAGUAAUGUUGGUGGUCGACCCUUUUCACAUGGGGGAAUCAAUUGCAUUGGAAAAAGCUUCUUGUCAUCAACUUAACUACUCCCACAUACUGAAGAAACAAGAACACGAUCGAGCAAAAUCUGGAUUGUUCAUGACAGUCUCAACAUCAUGAUAAUGCUACCUUUGAUGAUAUCUUUAACUGUGGCUUUGUUAGUUUUUGAUUUCCAGGAGCUUCAUUGUUUAGUUUUUUUAAAAAUGCUACCUUUGGUGAUAUUUUGUCUUAGAGUUACUAGAUUUUAAUAAUUUUAUGCAAUAAUUUUUAUU